UACAGAGGUCUCGAGCGUUGUUCGGAUUUAUUGGGCGUAAAGGGUGCGUAGGCGGUGUGGCAAGUCAAGUGUGAAAUCUCGGAGCUCAACUUCGAAACUGCACUUGAUACUACUAUGCUAGAGGGUUGUAGAGGAGACCGGAAUUCACGGUGUAGCAGUGAAAUGCGUAGAUAUCGUGAGGAAGACCAGUUGCGAAAGCGGGUCUCUGGGCAAUUCCUGACGCUGAGGCACGAAGGCUAGGGGAGUAAACGGG
rnacentral:rRNA from 1 species